rnacentral:rRNA from 1 species
UACGAGGUGGACAAACGUUAUUCGGAUUUACUGGGUUUAAAGGGUGCGUAGGUGGUCUAUUAAGUCAGUGCUGAAAUAUCCCGGCUUAACCGGGAGGGUGGCAUUGAUACUGAUGGACUUGAGUAGAGUUGAGGUAGGCGGAAUUGACGGUGUAGCGGUGAAAUGCUUAGAUAUCGUCAAGAACACCGAUAGCGAAGGCAGCUUACUAAGCUCAAACUGACGCUGAGGCACGAAAGUGUGGGGAGCAAACAGG